CAUAUUUCAAAGGGUACAUUGUCACAUUCUGCAUCACAUUUUGUAUCAUGUGGAAUCUCCCUGAGAACUACGUUAGGGGUACACGUGUCUGUGAAGUGCUCAGCUACUUGCACAUUAAUUUCACAAGCAGGCUAUUCCAUUGAUCAAUACAACUGGAACACUUGUCAUGAACAACAGAGAGAGAGAGAGAGAGAGAG